GGGGCCCCCACAGGGGUCUUGUGAUGGGACUGCUCGGCCUGUGACCCCGGAGCAGCCUGGACACUCCUGGCUUCUGAGGAACCAAGGGAGCUGGCCGCGCGGGGUUCGCAGGGGACCCUUGGCCCACACGUCUGGACUCGCAGCUUCCGGUCUGUCUCCUCGGACCAGUCGCUGGCCUGGUCCACGCCUUAGGGCUUCCCCUUGGCCCUGGACCCUCCCCAGGCACCGCCCAGGACAGAGGAUGGGCCCGGGCAGCGCUUCGUCCAGAAUGUCCCCGAGAGCCGGGUCCUCAAGUGCCCGGCCCAGCGCUGGAGAGGGGCUUCCACGGCCACGUGUCACACAAGCUGUGACCAGAGCAGUGACCGAACAGGGAGGCCAGGGCUGGGGUGCAGCUCGGUGGCCGAGCACUUGACUGGCACACAAGACAGACAGACAGACAGAGAGGACCUGACGAGGACGUCGCGUGACCUUGCUGAGCCCCGCCUGCAGCAGGUGCCCUUCCUAAGUCUCCUGAUUCACCUUAUUCCCACACCACACCAUGGGGGGGACCGGAUCCUGAUUCCCAUUUUCCAGAUGAGGAAUCUGAGGCAGAGGGGAGUGCGUCACUGACCACUUCCAAGUGGUCACUCAACCAGGACUUGAAGUCUCGCAGCCUGACCCAAGCUCAGCUCCUGUCCACGGAACUCUGCUGACCAAGGCUAUUUGGGGACGGAUAACAGAACACCCCGUGUUGAGGGACAGAGAGGAAGGGGACUUUGCCCGGCCAUGCGUCCCAGCACAGCCCUGGGGACUGAGGCAGGAGGAGGAGGGUCAAGGCCAGCCUGGGCAACUUAGCAAGACCCCACUCAAAGCACCAAACAAAACCCUCUCAGUCCUCAGCUCAGUACAACCGGAAGGUGGUGUGGUUUGCAAGAUCGGGCUAAGGAGGUCAGAGGUCACUGGGGGUAUGCCCCGCAAAGACAUAAUGGGAGUCAUCCCCUUCCUGUCUCUCACUUGGCUUCCUGGCUGCCACGAGGCGAAGCUUCCUUCACCCCGCGUUCCCUCCAUGAUGUGCUGUCUCACCACAGGCCCAACAGUAUAUGAGCCAACCGAAAGUGGCCUGAAACUUCCAAACCAUGAGGCGAAAGAAACCUUUUCUCUUUAUAAGUUUAUCAUCAUCUCAGCCAUCUGUCAUAGUAACAGAAAGCUGACUGAUACCACGAGAGCAUACCGUGAGUAUAAAACUACAGCGUCGGGGAAGGAGUUAUCAUCUGCUUGCUCACAACCUGCCAGGCGUUAUAUUCAUUGCCAUAAAUAAUACCGGUUGCCUUAGUAAGUAAACCACAAGACAUCAAAGAUUUACAUGAAAAAACAUGGACUUCUUGCAGCUGGAGAUGCCUGGCUGCCACGCAGCCUUCUGGGUGUUACUCAGAACCAGCUCCUCUAUCUUCCAGGGCACAUUUUUCCUGCAGAGUCACAUGGUAAAUAUGUUUGCCUCUGUGGUCUCUGUCACAGUUGUUUAGCUCUGUGUUGUUUGACGGCAGCAAGAGCAACAGGAAGGACUGGGCGUGUCUACGUUCCCGUGAAACUUCGCUUACAAAUACAAGUGGGGGCAGGAUCCAGCCCAGGGGCCACAGUUUUCCGGCCCCUGUCUAGGGUGUGAUUGCCUGUGCCGUCCUGCACACAGCCAGCAGACAGGGAGUGAGAAGGAGCAGCUCACGCCCGAGGACGUACCCAGUGACUUAGCAGGAAGUCAUGGAAUCACUCAAGUUCAGUGACAAGGCCACCUUUAUGAGAAGGGGAGCAUGCUGAAGCCUGGUGCCUCCCCUCCCCUCACCAGUACAGCUCCUGGGUCCAGGCAAGUGGGGCUCACCCCUUAGAGACGUGCACAGUUCUCCUCUGACCAGCCUGCUCCAGCAUGGACCCCUGAUGCGAGGCUGGCCUUCUGGGUCACUACAAAGAGAUACCCCCCAGAGCAGAGACAAAACUGCAGGACCAGGCAGGAUGGUGAAGAGCUGGCCUUCCGCACAGCGGCACUUUUCCCUGAGAUGCACCCGAAGUGUAUGGAGCCUUCCCUGCCGCAGACCACGGAUGCAAUGGGAGGGGUAGGGGGUGACCCAGGAAGGGGCUCAAGGUCAACCUCACUCCCAGCCCAACCUUAGAAGCCUCCUCCCACAUUAGAGAUCUUGGAACCCUUCCCUCAAAAUAAAGGAGAAGCUAUUCAUUGCUGCAUUCUA